AUUGAACGCUAGCGGGAUGCCUUACACAUGCAAGUCGAACGGAGUGGCGAACGGGUGAGUAAUGUAUCGGAAGGUGCCCAGUAGCGGGGGAUAAGUUCGCGAAAGCGUAGCUAAUACCACAUACUAUUGGAGGGGCGGAUAUCGGAUUGGCUAGUUGGUGGGGUAACGGGUCACCAAGGCGACUAGCCGGAGCUGGUUUGAGGGGAUGGCCAGCCACACUGGGACUGAGACACGGCCCAGACUCCUACGCGAGGCAGCAGUGGGGAAUUUUGGACAAUGGGGGAAACCCUGAUCCAGCCAUCCCGCGUGUGCGAUGAAGGCCUUCGGGUUGUAAAGCACUUUUGGCAGGAAAGCGGUACCUGCAGAAUAAGCACCGGCUAACUACGUGCCAGCAGCCGCGGUAAUAC
rnacentral:rRNA from 1 species